GGAGGGGGUUAAAUCCCUAGCUUCAAUCCCCUUCGAGCCUGGCAUUCCCUCUCCCUUCCCCUAGCCUCCUGCUCCACCGGCGGCCAGGCCAGCGUGGCGGCGCGCCACCGAAGCUGCUGCUGCCCUUCCCGAGAUCCACUACUUCUCCUCCUCAAGACCGCCUCCGCCGGGCAGCGGACUGCUGUGCACCUCUCCUCCAACCUGAAGCUGCAGCCCAUCAAGAGAAGCUCGCCUCCAACUCAACCUGCUGCUCACCUCUGCCCCUGUCCCCCGGCGAAGUCAAGGACGACGCUUGCUGCCUCCUCUUCAUCAACGUGUGCAACUUCUUCCCUUCCCCAACUCCUGCUGCUCUUCUCCUUGGGUGAAUGCCCAUCAAAAUCUCUCUCCCUUUCCCCCCUGUUGCUUGCUGUUUGUAUGGACUAAAAGUGAGAACAUGUGUUGAUUUUGUGUGCCUACAAGCUGUUUGUUUAAAUGUCAGUGAGAAACCUUGUCAAUUGUUGAGUUGUUCUACUGUGAUAUUUGUGAGCUAUAAAUUAUAUUUUGUCCUAAGAUUUGUGUGAUAUCUACUAGUGUGUGAUUUAAUUUUCUGUGAUAUUACAUAUGUUAGUUGCCCUGUUAUGUAUUCUUUCCCAUACCUAAACAAUUUGCUUCUCUCUCCCAUUCUUAUAUGUUUGCUCGUGAAUAUUUAUUAUGCCUAGUAAUCGUUUCUGUCCAGUGAUGUUUGCAUAAACGAAACUACUAAAAAUAUUUGCACUGUUUGUUACAAAUUCCAAAAUCUGUUCCUGUGAUCUAGCUUUAACCGAGCAUUGUUGUCGCUGCAUAGUCCCUGUGGAGAACCUCGACAAAAAAACUACUGUAUUUGCAUUGAUCAGUGGCCCUCGGGGUUCUUCCAGGUGUUCACAACAUUGGGAAUCUUCCACUCGUCUUGGGGCCCCCUCGGCCGAGGCGGCGAGCUCAUCACCGGCACCGACGGCGACCCGGCUGGAUGGCUGGGCGCUCGCCUCCACAUGAUCUUGGACGGACCGGUCGGGUCGGACGAAAUCUUGAUAAACCCGCGGAUGAUCCCCGUCCGUCCCAUGGGCUGCUGCACCGGCCGUGGCUUGGAAUUGAUGAAAGGCUGGUGCGGCGGGGUGCUCGCCGCGGCGGGCUGCACUUGCACGGUGGCGAGGCGGGCCGGGGCGCUGAUCUUCUCGUCGGCGACCAUCGGGACGGCAUCGUCGGGCUCGAUCCCGCGAUCUUCGGUGUGGAUUCUUCCAUGGCGGAAUUAGGGUUUUCGUGAUUGUUUUGGGUUGGGGAAUUUUACUGCGUCGUAAACCCUAAACCCACGCAGAGGUACGUGUGGCUUUAUGAAGUACUAGCAAGUUGGCACGAGUCAGGUUCGAGUUCUCAGCCCAAAUUCGAGAACGACUCAUGUCGCACCAGUGGCACCCGGGGUACCACCGUUGCUCGGGCGUGGGUCGCCUCGCUUGCUCCCCGCAAGGACAGCACCCUGGGCAGCACAGUGCGAGCUGCCCGGGAAGCCGCCAGCCCGGCAGGAGCCUGGGAAGGGGGUCGCCCUGGAGCAGGACUAGCCGGGCUGCGGGGGUUACCCCGGAUGACAGCGUGAAGAUCCCAGUGCAGGCACUUACGUCAGGGCCAGUGCAAGUAGAGUAUCGACGCCACGUGGGCGCCUGACAGUCUCCUUCUGUGCAGGGCUGGUCAGAGCUUGAAGUGUGGUGCAAGUCGAGCAUUAAAUGCUCCGACAGGGAAAUGGUUUCCUGUCUAGUCAACCUACAGUGAGUAGCUCGCAGUGAAUCUAGGGCACGUAUCGCCCUAGCUACAGUGUUUUGUACCGUGCAUGCAUGCCAGCGCAGCAAAGGGAAACUGCCUAGGGUCUUUGUUCGGCGCGUGUCCAAAAGCGCGUCCCCCAUGCAGACCGAGGCACCUUUGGUAUCCCCUUGACUAUAAAAGGAGGACCGAGGCACUGGUCAAAGGGUUUGACUCUAGCUGGAUUACGAUCCCUAGAGAUUUAGUCCAGAAGUAGUAAGUAGCCAUUUAGCAGAAAGGAAGAGAGCGUCCGGGGACUCCCCCGGCAACCUGUGAACACUUGUUCAUUGGCUAGUACAUACUCAGAAGCAGGACGUAGGGUUUUACACCUUCGGGUGGCCCGAACCUGGGUAAACUGGCUUGUACAUUGCAACGCUCGUCAUUGGCCUCGCUGGCGAUCGCCGGAGCGAUCCCCAUCGCCCACUGCCGAACCUAAAAGGGGGUGCCUAGCAUCCCCGAUGUCUAAGCCUCGGGCUACGACAUCUGGCGCGCCAGGUAGGGGGCGCGUGCGGAGAGCUCGCCGGUGACCGCCGGCGCCAUCGUCUUCAGCUACAUCAGCUUCGCCUUCUCAGACGACAGUACUCGUUGCUAUGCCUCCUAAGCGGGCUGGCGACUCUUGGAUCGAGCCGCGUGGUGCCCCAGCGGCGAACACGCAGUCACACGACGUGCAGCGCACGUCGCAGGAUCAGGAGAACCCUGAGCCUGCCCGGGUGCAGCAACAGCAGCAUCAAGUGAUACUUCCUCCGCCACGCUCCGUUGGAGACCGGCCGAGGCUAGCCCCGCAGCCUAGCACCGGGGCCGGUCAUAGCCGGGUCGUCGCUCGUGCUUACGAGCCGCACGUCGAGCAGCUGCAGGCCAACGACGAACUGCGUCCAUCUCAGCAUCCUUCUGUUGCUUCCCAAGCAACUCCCUCCGGCUCGCGGGAUCGUCCGCGAGGCACCGGAGCCGUCCCAGACGGCAUCACCGGGCAGGAGCACGCGGUGCCUCCUGUCCGAACUAGGUCAGAAGCCCUCAUGGUGGCUCAAGCCAUCAUGCGCUACGAGCCGCCGCAGGGAACACCGGCGCACGAGGCGUGGACCGCGGAGCUCGCCGCCCUCCUCGUUGCAACCAACCGCCGGUCAGGAGGAUCGCGUGGCCAGUCUAGGGCUGACACUGACCCGGUCGCGGGGCCUGGUGCAGGCCCUAUCCCCCAGCCGGAGCAUGGGGUGCCCGGUGGAAGCCGUCGCACGGGCGUGGAGCCCGGCGACAACUCCGUCGACUCGUCAUCAACAGUCCUGCCAGCGGACGUGCGGGGGAUACUCAACGCACGUCAACAGGAGGAUCUGCGCGAGCGCCUUGAGCGGCGUUGCCAACUUGCACGUGACCGCGCCAACCCCGGAGUCCAAGGCGAAGUGCUCCGGGGGGCUGACGACGGUUGCCCCGCGUUCACCCGUGAACUGUGGCAGGUGGAGUGGCCCCGCAAGUUCUGAGCCCUGCCAACGCUCGGGAUGUACGACGGGACCACGAACCCUAAGGAUUUCCUCCUAACCUACUCGUUGGGCAUGAACGCCGUCGGUGCCGAUGAGAAGGUUAGGGCCAACUGGUUUCCCAUGGUCCUGAAAGGAUCGGCGAGAACUUGGUUGCUCAACUUGCCGGCAGGAUCCAUCUCCUUGUGGGAUGACUUGCGCGAGCAUUUUGUCAGUGCGUUCCAGGGCGGCUACAAGCGCCCGGGAACCAUGGCGGAGCUGCACACCGUGGUGCAGAAGCCAGGGGAGACGUUGUGGAGCUUCAUCAACCGCUUCUCGAGUCUCUCCUACUCCAUUCCUGAGGCGGAGGCUGCCGCCAUCAUCAACACCUUCGCCAUCAACGUCCGUGACCCCAAGAUGCGUGAGAAGCUGAACACGCACCGGAUCUGGACAACGCAUGAGCUCUACGGCUUGGCGCACAAGUGUGCCAUGGCCGAGGACUCGCAGAAGAAGGGUUCCCGGAAGCGCGGCGGGAAGCAAGUGCUUGCCGUGGAACCGUGGGCUACCUCAAGGCAUGCGAAAAAGGCAUCGUCCGCUGGCAGGUCUGGUGGCAAGCCGGGCGACGCGCCCCGCUGCCCCAUCCACGCCAACGCCACCCACGACGCACAAGAUUGCCGCAUCCUGCAGGGUAUCAAGCAGAGGCGCGAGCAGCGCCACGAGGAGCGCCGAGCAGCCGACGCCUGCUUCAACUGCUGGGAUAUCGGGCAUCUCUCCCGCGACUGCCCGGAUGACUCCAUAGCUGGAGCGAAACCUGCCGGCAGAGAGGAAGCCCGGGGGGUCGAGGCCUAGCCCGCGCCGGCAAGGAGCAGCCUCCCCGGGGACGAGACAAGGCUCGUGCUGAGGAGCAGCGCGAGUUCGAUUACAGUGAGGGCGACGACCCCGGCUUCUAGGAGCCCCGCGGCGUCGCAUGCAUCCAUGGGGGAGCUUAUGCUCUCUCAACCUAUAGCGCGGUAAAGCGCCUCACCCGGGAGGUGUGUGCGUUGUUGCCGGACCUGGAGAUGCAACAGUCGUUGAAGUGGUCGCACGUGCCGAUCACCUUCAACUCCGACGAUCACCCAACCUGGCAGUUGGGGUCAGUGGUUUUGCCCUUCGUGGUCUCGCCGAUCAUCAACAACAUGACGGUGACCAAGGUGCUGGUGGACGACGGAGCGGGCUUAAACCUCCUAUCCGCCAAGUUGGUGGAGAAGCUUCAGCUGCCGCUGGAGCAGAUGAAGCCCACCGACCCGUUCUGGGGAGUGAACCCUAGGAUCGUGCGCCCCCUGGGGCGCAUCACGCUGCCGGUUACCUUCGGGUCCCGGGAAGCGUUUAGGACUGAGCACCUCAUGUUCGAUGUGGCUCAUACCCCGUUGCCGUACAACGGGAUCCUUGGUCGGCCAGCGCUGAUCAAGUUCAUGGCGGCAACCCAUUGCGCCUAUGGCGUGAUGAAGAUGCCGUCCACGUAUGGAGUCCUGUCCAUCAAGUGCGGUCUCAAGGACGCGGCUUGGUGUGUUGGCGAGGUCGUCAUGGCUGCCGCCAUAGUUGAUUCCGGUGACGAAGGCAUCGCCCGAAGCGAACGCUCGCUGCCGGGCGAUCGCCCCACAGCGAAGAAGGCUCGUGUUACCCCGCAGCAGCUUGCCGGGGGAAGCACAAGCUCGAGCUCACGCCCCGGCAAGGGCCAGAAGCUCAAGGAGGAGGCUGCCAAGGUGAAGAAGUUGCCCCUCCAAGUCGGCAACGAGGAGCGCACCGUCAGCGUCGGUGCGAACCUCGAUGCCAAAUAGGAAAGCGCCCUCAUCACUUUCCUCCGGGAGAAUGCCGACGUGUUCGGUUGGGAACCAUCGGAUCUUCCCGGAGUCCCUAGGGAGGUGAUCGAGUAUCGACUUGCGGUGCGUCCAGACACCCGCCCCGUCAAGCAGAAGGUCCGCCGGCAAGUACAAGAGCGUAAAGACUCAUCAAGCAAGAAGUGGACAAGCUAAAAGCUGCGGGGGCUAUCAGGGAAGUAAUGUACCCCACUUGGUCAGCAAAACCAAGUUGUAGUACCCAAGGGGGAAAACGAACUGCGCAUGUGUGUAGAUUUUACUGAUCUAAAUCGUGCAUGUCCCAAAGACCCCUUCCCUGUACCCCGCAUUGAUCAAAUAGUAGAUUCCACUGCCGGUUGCGAUUUGUUGUGUUUUUUGGAUGCUUUUUCCGGCUACCAUCAAAUUAAGAUGGCAGUCGAGGACGAGGAGAAAACGGCGUUCAUCAUCCCGGUUGGCUGCUACUGUUACACGUGCAUGCCUUUUGGGUUGAAGAACGCGGGCUCAACAUUCCAGCGUGCCUUACGCGAGUGUUUGGGACCCCAGCUAGGCCGAAACGUUGAGGCCUACAUGAAUGAUAUCGUCAUCAAGUCAAAGCGCGGGGACUCGCUUGUUGAUGACUUGCGGGAGACGUUCGAUAACCUCCGCAAGAUCAAGCUCAAGUUGAACCUUGAGAAAUGCACUUUUGGUGUAGACUCGGGGCAACUUCUGGGCUUCUUGGUUUCACAUAGCGGGAUUCAGGCCAACCCAAAGAAGAUAGAAGCUAUCGAGAAGAUGGAGGCUCCCCGCAAGGUGAAGGACGUCCAGCGCCUCAACGGCUGUGUUGCCGCGCUGGGGUGUUUCAUUUAAAGGCUGGGCGAACGCGCCUUGCCUUUCUUCAAGGUAAUGAAGAAGACGGGCCCAAUCGAUUGGACCCCCAAGGCUGAGGCGGCGUUCCAGGACCUGACGCAGUACUUGAAAUCGCCGCCGAUCCUCGUUGCCCCCAAGCUGGGCGAGUCGCUGCUACUCUACCUAGCAGCGACUGACCAAGUGGUCAGCUCGGUGCUUGUUGCUGAGAGAGAAGAAGAUCUCCCGGGGGCUGGGGUUGCGGGGCAGGGACUGAACCAGCCCCUGCAACCGCCUCGAACCCGGGAACCGCCAUCGAGCCAGCGGCGCUGAUACCUCGCAAGCGGCUCGUACAACACCCUGUGUACUUCGUCAGCACCGUGUUGCGCGACGCCCGCGUACGGUACCCGCAAGUACGGAAGCUCUUGCUGGGGAUUCUGCUUGCAUACCGCAAGCUGCGCCAUUACUUCCAGGCGCACCGCAUCACGGUGGUGUCAGGGUUCUGCCUCGAGCGGGCCCUCACCAACCGUGAAGCCACCGGGAGAGUGGCCGAGUGGAGGAUGGAGUUGUCGGAGUUUGAUCUGCACUUCACGAACACCAAGAGUAUCAAGAGUGCCGGUCUGGCUGAUUUCGUUGCAGAGUGGACCUCGACAGGCAUAGAAGAAGAGGAGCCGGAGACCAGCCUGCCCGGCAGGCUGGACGAACGCCACUGGGUCAUGUACUUCGACGACGCGUUCAGCCUGCAGGGUGCUGGCGCCGGAGUCGUCAUCGAGUCACCCACGGGGGACCAGUUGAAAUUCGCCAUCAAACUCGACUUCCCCAACUCC
rnacentral:lncRNA from 1 species